rnacentral:rRNA from 1 species
CACGAAUUCGUGUGAGCUAACUUAACUACAAAGUAUGUGGCAUAAUAUAAAUUGAAAUUAAGUUAGGGGUGAGAGGCCUUUCAAAAACGAAGAUAUCUUGAAGUAAAUAAAAAAAAUUGAGUUUUAAGGUAAUUACGAAGUUAUAAGAUUUUGUAAAGGAUUUAAUUUUUUUUUUCUUUGAAAUAUAGGAAUAAAACCCCAUAUGAAUAAGAUAUAAAUAUAAAGUUAGUAAGCUUAUUUAUUUAAUUUACGGUAACACAACUAUUGUAUAAUCAUAAUGUUAUUAUAAGUAUUUAUUAGGUACUAAUAGUGAACUCGGCAAUAAAGCUUUCAACUGUUUAUCAAAAACAUAGUCAUAUGUUUUAUAUAUGGUGUGUUCUGCUCAAUGAUAAGUUAAAUAGCCGCAGUACCCUGACUGUGCAAAGGUAGCGUAAUCAUUUGUCUUUUAAUUGGAGUCGUGUAUGAAUGAAUGCAUGGGGGCUUACUUUACCAUUAGUAUAAUAUGAAGUUACUUAAGAGGUGAAAAAACCUCUAUCUAAAAAAUAGACGAGAAGACCCUUGAAAUUUGUAAAAUUGUUUUGUUGGGGCAACAUAGUAGAUAAACCUACUAAAUGUACAUGUAAUUUAAUUGAUUGAGUAAAUUACUCUAGGGAUAACAGCAUAAUUUAAAUAAGUUUGUGACCUCGAUGUUGGAUUAGGGAACUAAAACUUAAAA